UUUGGCCCAAAUCCAAAAUGUGGGUAGCUGCCACUUAUUGUAAAACCCCAUGUUUCUUUAAUCCCCAUUCAUAUACGCCCAAACAGAUAAACAGUCGCGAAAAGAUGUGUUUCUUAAAACUGUAUCAAUGCAGAAAUAUUUGACCAAAAAAAAAAUGGAUCGUGGAAUGUGCCUGCAUGAAGAAUUGUGGGCAUUGACGAGCUUGUGAUCGUGGAUUGUUACUGUACAACUUUCGGAAAUGACGCUGGGUUCGGUUUGGGAAGGGUUGGGGGGUGGGGAUUAAACGACGUUGGCAUUGGGAAAGUGGAAAACUGUUCCUUUUGUGGACAAUUCCGGUGUUCC
rnacentral:lncRNA from 1 species